GGAAGAGAAGGUCUUGUAGGAUCUGAAGGACCAUCAGGGGAGAAAGGAGAGAAGGGUGAGCCUGGAGAUCCUGGUGGAACUGGCAUCAGGGGGCUGGAUGGAGAGCAGGGUCCCCCAGGGCUAUCUGGACGAGAAGGUCAACCAGGAUCAAAAGGGGAACAGGGUGAUGGAGGGCUGCCUGGGGAUCCAGGUGUCCAAGGAAGCCCUGGAGAGAUGGGAGAGGAAGGGCUGAAAGGGCAACCUGGGAGAUCUGGAGAACUGGGGACAGAGGGUGAAGACGGAGAUGCCGGGGAUCCUGGUGAGCCGGGACCAAAGGGUGAAAAGGGUGAAGCUGGCAGCAGAGGCUCUUUUGGACAGUCUGGGCCUACUGGAGCUACGGGGGAAGUUGGUGGAAAAGGACUGAAAGGACAAAAGGGUCAAGAAGGAUUCCUGGCAAGUAG